CCACGACGACGAGCCGCAGCAGUAGUAGCAGGCACUGAAGAGCAAAAAAGACAAGCAAUAAGAAAAUAAAAUGGCGAUCUUUGCGUGUUGUACAUUUUUCAUUGCGGCCGUUUAAGGGUGUGCGUAUUUGUGUUGUGUAAAGUGUGCCCCGGUGCCAGGUGAUUUAACAACACGAGCACACACGUGCCUCCAGCCGAGAGUGGUGAAGUGAGAGAAAAAGAGAGCAAGUGUGAGAGAAAAAGAGAGAAGAAAAAGAAAAAGCGAGAGAGAGUGAAGGGAAAACGACCAAAAGUGUGCGGGCGAGAGAAAGAGAG